ACACAAAAGAAAUGCAGUCAGACGUUUGUUAUCCAAGUUGAGUCAAAGACAUUGAAUUAAUUCAGCUAACCAUGGUUUCAAUUAAUUAAUGAGAUUCCCAGGCUACUGAAUACGUUGGGGACCAUGAGUUUGUUUUGGGCAAACAAGGUUUUUGAAUGAUUGGACCUCUGACUACAGGUAAGCAAAACAACAUGUGAGAAGAUCCUCUGCAAAAAGCCAGAAGACUAAAAAUUGGGACUUGAAAUUAAAAAUUUCUCUGGAAGUAUUUCUGAGACUCAGUCAGCCAAAACCAGCCUGGAGGCAGUCAAAAAGAGUAGUGCUAUCCCUCUGGGUAGACUCCAUCCUGAAUGUACCAGCACGACUGAGUAUUUCCACAGAGAUCCUGAUAUCCUGUAAAGAAUCUUCCACUUUUCCUUUUUUUUAGUGCAGUUUAUUCCUCUCACUGGACUGGUUUUUUCCCCACAAAUAACUCUUAAUUGUUUGUUUUCCCUGCAAACAGUGAAGAGAGAGAGCCAUAUUGCACCAUAAAAGUAACGUCGUGUGGGUUCUCAUCUCAUCAGCUCUCCAUGACUGCUGAGUCACGCGUGGGUAGUUUUCAAGUGCUACUACAGCAUUAGAAGACAUUUCAUGGAAGUCCUGGUGAUUUAUUGGAAAGAGUUCUUAAAAGAGUCUAAAUUUAGACUCUGAGCAGCAGAUAUGGCUUCAUGUGACAUAUCAAGUCCCACAUUUGGAAGAGAGAUUUGCAUUGAGGAAGUGGCCUAAAGAGCUUUUAGAAAAAUCCUGGGUGCUUUGUUUCCGUCCUCUGAGAAGCUUUAGCUACAGGAGAAAUCAUCUGUCACGUCUACCUGCUGACAUCUCUUCUACCUUCUUGACUGCAUCCCCCCGUCCUGAUGUUUCCAGACGACAUACUUUUCAGCGGUAAUGUAUCAGCCCAGCUAGAACAACAUAUAUGGGAGCUGGCUGGUAUGAUUUAUCUUUAACCUGUCAAGUUUCACUUCUCUGUGUCAUCACCUCAUGUUCCACCACCAACACAUCCACAUGUUGUACGUUUGUACAUCAUUGGGCACGCACAACUCUAUCGUGACCAAAAAGUGGAGUGCUGUUGCAGUCCCAUAUAAUAUGGAAGGGCUUGA